rnacentral:rRNA from 1 species
GAUGAACGCUGGCGGCGUGCUUAACACAUGCAAGUCGAACGGAAAGGCUCCUGCUUGCAGGAGUACUCGAGUGGCGAACGGGUGAGUAACACGUGGGUGAUCUGCCCUGCACUUCGGGAUAAGCCUGGGAAACUGGGUCUAAUACCGGAUAGGACGAUGGUUUGGAUGCCAUUGUGGAAAGUUUUUCGGUGUGGGAUGAGCUCGCGGCCUAUCAGCUUGUUGGUGGGGUAAUGGCCUACCAAGGCGUCGACGGGUAGCCGGCCUGAGAGGGUGUACGGCCACAUUGGGACUGAGAUACGGCCCAGACUCCUACGGGAGGCAGCAGUGGGGAAUAUUGCACAAUGGGCGCAAGCCUGAUGCAGCGACGCCGCGUGGGGGAUGACGGCCUUCGGGUUGUAAACUCCUUUCGCUAGGGACGAAGCGCAAGUGACGGUACCUGGAGAAGAAGCACCGGCUAACUACGUG